rnacentral:rRNA from 1 species
GAUGAACGCUGGCGGCGUGCCUAAUACAUGCAAGUCGAGCGAACGGACGAGAAGCUUGCUUUUCUGAUGUUAGCGGCGGACGGGUGAGUAACACGUGGAUAACCUACCUAUAAGACUGGGAUAACUUCGGGAAACCGGAGCUAAUACCGGAUAAUAUUUUGAACCGCAUGGUUCAAAAGUGAAAGACGGUCUUGCUGUCACUUAUAGAUGGAUCCGCGCUGCAUUAGCUAGUUGGUAAGGUAACGGCUUACCAAGGCAACGAUGCAUAGCCGACCUGAGAGGGUGAUCGGCCACACUGGAACUGAGACACGGUCCAGACUCCUACGGGAGGCAGCAGUAGGGAAUCUUCCGCAAUGGGCGAAAGCCCGACGGAGCAACGCCGCGUGAGUGAUGAAGGUCUUCGGAUCGUAAAACUCUGUUAUUAGGGAAGAACAUAUGUGUAAGUAACUGUGCACAUCUUGACGGUACCUAAUCAGAAAGCCACGGCUAACUACGUGCCAGCAGCCGCGGUAAUACGUAGGUGGCAAGCGUUAUCCGGAAUUAUUGGGCGUAAAGCGCGCGUAGGCGGUUUUUUAAGUCUGAUGUGAAAGCCCACGGCUCAACCGUGGAGGGUCAUUGGAAACUGGAAAACUUGAGUGCAGAAGAGGAAAGUGGAAUUCCAUGUGUAGCGGUGAAAUGCGCAGAGAUGUGGAGGAACACCAGUGGCGAAGGCGACUUUCUGGUCUGUAACUGACGCUGAUGUGCGAAAGCGUGGGGAUCAAACAGGAUUAGAUACCCUGGUAGUCCACGCCGUAAACGAUGAGUGCUAAGUGUUAGGGGGUUUCCGCCCCUUAGUGCUGCAGCUAACGCAUUAAGCACUCCGCCUGGGGAGUACGACCGCAAGGUUGAAACUCAAAGGAAUUGACGGGGGCCCGCACAAGCGGUGGAGCAUGUGGUUUAAUUCGAAGCAACGCGAAGAACCUUACCAAAUCUUGACAUCCUUUGACAACUCUAGAGAUAGAGCCUUCCCCUUCGGGGGACAAAGUGACAGGUGGUGCAUGGUUGUCGUCAGCUCGUGUCGUGAGAUGUUGGGUUAAGCCCCGCAACGAGCGCAACCCUUAAGCUUAGUUGCCAUCAUUAAGUUGGGCACUCUAAGUUGACUGCCGGUGACAAACCGGAGGAAGGUGGGGAUGACGUCAAAUCAUCAUGCCCCUUAUGAUUUGGGCUACACACGUGCUACAAUGGACAAUACAAAGGGCAGCGAAACCGCGAGGUCAAGCAAAUCCCAUAAAGUUGUUCUCAGUUCGGAUUGUAGUCUGCAACUCGACUACAUGAAGCUGGAAUCGCUAGUAAUCGUAGAUCAGCAUGCUACGGUGAAUACGUUCCCGGGUCU